CUGCGAGUUCGCGGGAGAGUAAGUUAUUGCCAGGGUUUUUAUUUUAUACUUUAAACAUUGAUUUUAUUUUUUAUGUUUUUAGAUGUUCAUGUUUUUGAAUGUUUUAUUUAAAUAAUAUAAAAAAUAAAAUAUAUAUUGACAUGGAUUAAACAAGGAUAUAUAUUAUUCUAUGUUGCAUAAACAAAUUGGCAAAAUAGAGAUGGAAGAUAAAAAUAUGGUCAAAGUAAUAAGAGUCUAUGGUGAAUGCCUAGGA
rnacentral:misc_RNA from 1 species